rnacentral:rRNA from 1 species
GACGAACGCUGGCGGCGUGCCUAACACAUGCAAGUCGUACGCACUGGCCCAACUGAUUGAUGGUGCUUGCACCUGAUUGACGAUGGAUCACCAGUGAGUGGCGGACGGGUGAGUAACACGUAGGUAACCUGCCCCGGAGCGGGGGAUAACAUUUGGAAACAGAUGCUAAUACCGCAUAACAACAAAAACCACAUGGCUUUUGUUUGAAAGAUGGCUUUGGCUAUCACUCUGGGAUGGACCUGCGGUGCAUUAGCUAGUUGGUAAGGUAACGGCUUACCAAGGCAAUGAUGCAUAGCCGAGUUGAGAGACUGAUCGGUCACAAUGGAACUGAGACACGGUCCAU